GGAGUUGGCUGCUAGGGUUCCGGCCUUGCGUGAUGCAGGGUGCUGGUCCGAGAGCGGCCGCUUGCGGGGGAGACAUCCUCGCAGGACACGGCGGGACAAAAGCCCGGGAGAC
rnacentral:sRNA from 2 species